UGUAGAUAACGGGUAUCAUACCACGAUUAAUUUGUCCCGUCGUGACCACGACUCGUGCAACUGAGUCGAAAUAUCGGUAGU